rnacentral:rRNA from 1 species
GACAGAGGGUGCAAACGUUGUUCGGAAUUACUGGGCGUAAAGCGCGUGUAGGCGGCUAAGUAAGUCGGGCGUGAAAUCCCACGGCUCAACCGUGGAAGUGCACUCGAAACUGCAUAGCUAGAGUCCUGGAGAGGAAGGUGGAAUGCUUGGUGUAGAGGUGAAAUUCGUAGAUAUCAAGCGGAACACCGGUGGCGAAGGCGGCCUCUGGACAGUGACUGACGCUGAGACGCGAAAGCGGUGGGGAGCAAACAGGG